UACGGGGGGGGUAAGCGUUGUUCGGAAUUAUUGGGCGUAAAGGGCGCGUAGGCGGCUUGGCAAGUGGAUGGUGAAAUCCCUCGGCUUAACCGAGGAACUGCCAUCCAGACUGCUUUGCUUGAGGCCGGGAGAGGUAAGUGGAAUUCCCAGUGUAGCGGUGAAAUGCGUAGAUAUUGGGAGGAACACCAGUGGCGAAGGCGGCUUACUGGACCGGUUCUGACGCUGAGGCGCGAAAGCGUGGGGAGCAAACGGG
rnacentral:rRNA from 1 species